rnacentral:lncRNA from 1 species
AUUGUUCCGACAUUGAGUAGUCACGCAUGGUCCCAUGGGGCUACUUGUGUUUGGGCAAUGUGAACAUCUUGUCAUAUGAUGCUACAAGAUGGGAUUACCAACGGAUCCAAGAAAUUGUCCGGUGAGGGUCUUUUGGUAGUUCCAUACUUGUAGGAAAGGUGGGUUCGACUUAACUAGGGCGUUUGCACCAAGAAACUGUCCGGUGAGGUGUAAAACCCUAGAGGCCGAAGGAUGAUCGGAUCGUACAUGAGAUGUACCGAGGUAAGGUGUUACCCGCUUACUAAAUUACGACUUUCCAAGAAACCGUCCGGCGAGGUAAGUCAUAAUUUAUAAGACCCUGAUCCCCGCUAGAAAUAUCAAGGGUUGACGAUUUCCGUCUUUCCACCUAGGGAGUGUGGAAAUUCAAUAAAUUUAGUGGGGGGUACCUAUUGGAUUUAAAGGCCCUAAUCUAAUAGGAUAAAAAUGAUUAAUACUUAACUAUAUAAUCAUUUCUAUUUAGCUACACAGUUGACCUUAUUUGAAACAAUUUUCAAUCUGUUGACAACUAACUGAUUGGGUAGGAUAUAGAGAAUUGUUCUCAAUUUGAAGUAAGUAGUCGACAUACUUAACUCCAUCCUAAUCUCUCAUUUGGAGAUUCAUAACCAAGAAAAUAUAAUUUCAAAAUAAGUACGACAUCAUUACACAUUAGAGCAAAUGGUUGCUUAGAUAAACAAAACUAUUAAUAUUCAAAGUGUGUUGUGGAAAACAUAAAGAAUAUUUAUAGUUUAUUAUAUUUUAUACAAAAGUUGUAUAAUAAAUGAUGUCUUCUUUGCAAAUAUAAGAUAUUAAAGAUAUUAAUACAAGAGUUGUAUGAUGAGUAUUGUUGAAUACGUGACAUUACAUGUCCGCAUACAAGAGUUGUAUGGUAUGUGGAGUCAUAUACUCGAUAUGAGAUAUCAAGUUUAAAUAGAUAAGUAAGGAUGGACCUCUGUGAUCGUCACAGAUAGAGGUCGAGCUAACUUCUAAUUCCAGAUAAUCCAAUUGGAUAUGAUAAGUUCAAUAUCUUACUUGUUACAUUGAGAAGUAUUUUGUAUUAAAUAGAUAGGCAUCUAGUGUGAUAUCCUUUGGACUGAAAAUGUAGCAAGAGUUGCCAUAUUAGUUCAAAGAAAAGAUACGAAUUACCAUUUGGUUAAAAACUUAAAUGCUGUCUUUAAGGGCUGAUAUACCUUUUACUUUGAGAAAGUACAAUUCUAUCUAUUAUUUAUUAUAUAAUUUAUUUGAAAAGUAUAAGUACCUUGAAGGAUGGCUUUACUUUUUAAAGAAUGGUAAAUUGCACAAUUUAUAUGUGAUAAGGAAGUUAUUAAAUUUGAUGUAAACUAGAGGUCAGAGAAUUAAGAGUUCAUAUAGCACUUGUGAUUAGGUUGCAUCGGUACGGAUAGGAUAAAUAGAUUGGCUAAUAAUGGUUUUGAGUUGUUUAUUCAAAACCAUACCCAAUCUAUGAGUCCAGUUCUAAACUGAUAUAACUAAAUCAUCCUUUGUGAGACAAAGUAUAGUAGCCAUUAAAUACUCAUACUAAUGCAUGGUGAUGCAUAUCGAUCAUAUGAUGAUCAUGAAUGGUUCUCUGAUAUUUCAUUACUUUUACUAAUGAAGGUCAUAGUAAAAGUCAUAUGGAUCUUAUAAAUCGCGAAAUUGAAUACUUUGAAGAAGUUCAAAGAGAAUUCAAAAUAAAGUUAAGCACAAGAAAGGGUGUUAAUACUUAAUCGAUUAGAUCGAGUAGGUUAUUGCCUUAGUAUUGAGCAUUACAUAACCUCUAGUAUAUAGACAUUCUUUACAGUUUCCUUUUAAUACUUUUUGGUAUUUCAAAGGAGAAGUCGUAUCUUGUAAGACAUGGUACAAGUUAAAGUUAACUGUGUAAUUGUAUUAUUAUUCACUCUACAGUGUGCCAAUCUUAUCAAUGUAUUCCCACUAAAAGUAGUCCCUUCCGAAAUUUUUGCCUAUAAGAUCGCAUACGAUGUGAAAAGAUAGAAGGCAAUUAUUAUGACUUGUAGAUAUCCAUCAUUUAUUUUCGGAACAUGAAAUAGAUUGGAUGGAUACUGCAUCUAGCGUAUAUAGACUCAAUCAAUCUCAAAGAGUUGAGAUAUUAUAUUUUCUUCCCAAGAAAAGAUUUUUGUUGACAUACUUAUUUUUCAAUAAAAGGUUUAUUAUGAAAGAAGCAGUGGGAGGAAUCUAUAUGGCUCAACAAAGUGUCUAUUGAGCUGUGAGUCUAUAAGUCUAGAUUAAUUAUUUGUACACAUAAGAUCUAAGAUAUUUUCUAAAUCUUAGAUCAAAUUGGAUUUGAUCAUGAGGUAUUAGAAGAAAUUGUUCUUCUAAAAAGAGAUAAUGAUUAUCUUAGAUGUGAAGAAACGAUAUGAGAUAUCAAUCCGAGAAGAUAGAUGCAUACAAGCAAAUUUGAAUGGAUGAUAUGAUCUUAAAUUAUUGACUCUCUAUAAGGUAAGGUACCUUGUGAGUUUUACAAUUAAAGAUUUGUAUAAAUAAAAGGUACAGACCUUUGAAACUCCAUCACUAACAAAAUGUUGCGGUCAAAGAGAAAGUCUCGAAUACAGUGACAGAUUUAUGGUGGAUAUCAUAAUCCAUUUGUUUUUGCUUGUUAAACAUGGUGAUAUGAGAUAUCAUAGUUGAUUCUUAAUUUAUAUUAUUAAAGAAAGCUACUGUUCCGAACAGUGGAAGAAUUUCCUCACAAACUGUAAAAGGAUCUAAACUAUCUUCUUGAAAAUAUGACGUCUGCUUCAAAAUGCAAGCAACGUGUUUGGUGUAUCGGAAGAAUAGACGAGUCAAAAAGUGUAUAGAGAAAUAGUGGGAGUACAAAAUAUGCUUUACGUAUUGUACGUAAAUAAUAUUUAAUAUUUGAGAAAUUUAACCAGUAUGAUAAUAUUGAUUAUCAAGAACUUCUUGAUGAAAAUUCUAGUUAUAUAUUUUCAUCUGAAGAAUGGGGGUCUAUGGAGAUAAAUCUGAUAAAUUUCUUGAACUGCGUACAUAGGAUAUCAUGUUGAAGAGGUCAACAAGAUUAAAUUCUAAUGAGAGACAUAUUAUCCUUUGGAAGGAAGUUGUCUCUAACAGUGUGUGUGACAUAUUAAGAAAGGAUGCACUUAUGCGGGAUCCUUUAUAAUUCAAUAUUUGGAAUCUACACGUGUAUUAUUCUAUGUGCGAUGAUUGAUACAGUAAAUAUUACUGAUAGAUAUUAUCUAAUACUUGUGAAGUAUUGACACUAAAGAGAGAAAAGAGAGAUUUUAUAAGAUUGUAUUGGAGUUGUUGUUGCUUAAAAAGCUUGAGCAAGAUAACAUGAAUGUUAAGUGUGGCGCUGCAUGAGAUGCACUAUAGAAUAUGUUCUGGUUCAUGGAGUUUAGAACUCCAUAUGGUUCAUAUGAUAUAGAACCUAGGUCUCAUCAAUGAUCCAGACGUAUUUAGUGAAUGAAAAUAAUUUAUACUCCCAACAACUUUCCUAAGUAGAAUAUAAUAGUCAUGAAUAGUUCAGUGGAUGCACUAGCUAAAAAGCUUACUCUUCAAGGGUUGAAGAGUUGACUUUAAAUAAUGCAUAUAAGAUAUGUGAGUGUUUGGCUUUAGUGCAAGUGGGAGAUUGUUAGUUAUAUGCCCAAAAGCCCAUAUGGGGACACUAGCUUAAAGGUAUUUGCGUAUUAAUUGUUUAUAAUUCAUAAUAUGAGGGCAGAUAUUCUAUUCAUGUCUAUUGUAUAGCAGUUCAAUAUUUGACAUGAAUCGUCCAUACAGUCUUUGUUUGACAAAGACAUAUUUCUAAGAGUUAGAAAUUUGAGAUAUGUAUUUUUCUGUACGGGACUGUUUAAAUGCUCCUAGCCAGAAGAAUAUUACAAGGACGGUAAUAUUCCGGAUAAGCCGGUGUAUGCUAUGUUUCUAAUUGAGGUGACGAAUCUCAAGUCACUAGUGUAGGGACACUAGAACAAGCAUACAAGUGCUUGUUAGAAAACAAGUACACUGAGCGUGACUAUUUAAUUGAACAGUCAUAUGGUUCCAUGCUCGCCAGUGACAGGUUCAUUGCUACAGUUGUGUGAAGUACUCCUCAGACCUGAGGCAUCAUAGUUGCUUCACGUACAGGUUGCUACCGUUUGAUAGUACUAAUACUUAAACUCUAGACAUGGGUCUAUAUUCGGUACUGAUUGGCUGUAGUGAUUUAUACGAGAAGGCAUGUGAAUGCGCAAUAAGGAAUCUAACACUUUCAAUGACGAGGGAGAAUGUCCUAUGCAGUCUAUCGGACUUGACUCGGAAAACCCCUGGCCAGGGUACUUGGUAUGUGGAAAGAGUUUCCAACUGUGUUAUCAUAUUGAGUUGAUUUCAGAUAGUCUAGNNNNNNNNNNNNNNNNNNNNNNNNNNNNNNNNNNNNNNNNNNNNNNNNNNNNNNNNNNNNNNNNNNNNNNNNNNNNNNNNNNNNNNNNNNNNNNNNNNNNAUAUAUAUAUAUAUAUAUAUAUAUAUAUGUAUAUAUAUAUAUAUGCCCAGUUAUUAAUUAAUUAAUAUUAAUUACUCGCUAAUUAGAGAGAGAGAGGGGGGGGAGGGGGAGAGAGAGAGAGUGAAAAAACCCUCUCAUGGUCACCCCGGUGCGGACGUUCGCCGGAGCUCCUGCGAGACGGGAGAAGGUGCGGCGCAUCUUCGAGCUCUUCGAUGCCGACGGCGACGGCGCCCUAGGCCGGUCGGAGUUGUCGGCGCUCGUGGCUGCCGUCAACCCCGGCGUCGUCUUCACAGCCGACCAGCUCUGCUCAGUCCUCGACGCCGUCUUCCGCUCCUACGCCGGCGCCGCUGACGCCGACCGCCUCUCCCUCGCCGGCCUCCUCCGCUCCUACGACGACGGCGCCGGCGACGUCGACCGCGACUUCGCCGCCCUCUUCCCCGACCUCGCCCCAAGCCCUAAGCCUAGCCCUAGCCCUAGCCCUAGCCCCAAUGGUCCUCUCAGCCCCCUUGCCUCCCCCAUCCACGAGAUCGCCUUCGACUCCACCCGCGCGGCGGUGGCGCGGCUGGAAGCCCUAAUCAAGAACCGCGAUGGGGGAUUCGCGAAGGGGUUGAGGGAGAUCAGGGCGAAUCUCGACCGUUCGGGAGCGGUCGAGGCGGCGUCAGAGGGCCACGUGGCGAUCGGCCGCGCCCUCUUCCGCGCGCGGCUUCUCCCCGACGCCGUCGACUGCUUCCGCCGCGCCGCGGAGCUCUCCCCCGCGGACCCGCGCGCGCACUUCCGCCUCGGCACCGCGCUCUCCGCGCUGGAUCGGCCUCGCGACGCCCGGCGCAGCCUCUCCGCCGCGCUCGAGACGGCGUCGGCGGACGCGCUGCGCUGGCAAGCGCUCCUCCCCCAGAUCCGCGUGAACCUCGGCGUCGUCCUCGAGCGCGAGGGCCUCCUCCUCGCCGCGGCCGAGCACUACCGCGCCGCCGCGCGCCUCUGCCCCACCCACUACCGCGCCCUCAAGCUUCUCGGCAGCGCCCUCUGCGGCGCGGGGGAGCACCUCCGCGCCGUGGCCGCGCUGGAGGAAGCGCUCCUCCUGAAGCCGGAUUUCCCGGACGCACUCUGCGACCUGGGCGCCGCGCUCCACGCCGCGGGCGAGCGCGACCGCGCGGCGCAGUGCUUUGACAGGGCUCUUCAGCUCGACGCCGCCCAUGCCGACGCGGCGUUCAACCUCGGCGGCGUGUUUAAGGACAUGGGCCUGUACGGACCCGCUGUGGAGGCGUACGGACGCGCCCUCGUGUCUCGGCCGGACCACUGGGCGGCCGAGCUGAACCGGGCCGCCGUGCUCCUCGGCGCUGGCCAGCCGGCCGCAGCCAAGAAGGCUCUGGAGGAGGCCUACAAGCGAACAAAGCGGGUCGAGCUCUACGAUGCGAUCUUAUACGUGAAGAAGCACCAGAGGUGGCUUAGGCUUAGAGAAGGUAACGGUGUCGAUUUUGCGGUCGUUGAUCCUUCUGCGUUCAAAACAGCAGAUAGGAGAACAACGCAUGCGAGGUGUUUGACGGAUGCUCUCUGUAUAAGGGACAUCCAGAAGAUUACCCGGUUAGGCCGAAUCGAUGCUAAUUUGCUUCGGAGGGAGAUGGGAGGGCGGGAGAGAGUGGCUACGAAGGCCGAAUUGGAGGGGAUUCUAAGGAAGCUUCUCCAUUUCCUCAACGUCGAAUCAUUUCAGGAGGCGAUGAAGGUGAUCAACGAGAAGAUUUUGACCAUUCUAGAUGCUACAAGUUCAGGAAAGAUUGACCUUAGUAUGUUCUUUGCAGUCGUCGCCCCUAUAUGCACGGGCCCGCCAGAAAAUCGCAAAGGUGUUGCCUUCGAUUUCCUCUCUGAUAAUGGAGGAUUCAACGGCCGAAUAUCUAAAACUGAUGCUUCCAUAUAUUUGAAGUACAUGAGGGUGAUAUACUUCCAAAAUUCACAGUCAUUCAGUGAUCCGGUUGAACUUGGUGGGCAAGAAGAAGAUCGCGCGAAAAUAUUGUUCUCAGAGUUUGUUGGUAUUUUUGAUGAUGCAGAUCGCGGUUUCGGGAUUUUGCCAAUCGUUAUAAAGCUCGAGGCCAUGGAUAAUGCACGCAACAGUAGGCAAGCAUGCGGAGUUUGCAAGUACCAGAUCGGCGGAUUGAUGUUCAAGGAGAUUGCUUGCCAUUUCUGGCUGUGUUCGAGCUGUUACAGUGAACACAAGGUACCAUCUGCAUUUAGGAAAGAUGAGUACGUGUUUAAGGAGUAUAUGAUUGAUAAGUAAGUACUAGAUUUAUUACUUUUUCUUUUUAUGCAUUAUACAUAUAAAUUCAUUGCGUGUAAAUAAAAAAAAAAAAAAAAAAAAAAACUGCAUUUGGCUCAUAUUUGUGAGUGUUUCGUGUUUACAAUGGCUUACACAUAGAGAUAUAGAAAAGAGCCAGUUUUCAUACUUGUGGAUAGAAUUCCAUAAGCCAAUAAUGAAACGAUUAAUCUGUUCUUCUACCUUUUGGCACUUUGCAGUGUACUAAUAUGAUCGUUUUAUAGAUUGUAGUGGCUCUUAUGUUCUACUUUUGAGAGGACUUUGUGCUUAAUUGACUGAGCUCUUAUGGUUAUAAAUAAGCUUGAUAUUAUUUCGUGGUAGUUUAGUGGAUUGAAAAAUUGCAGAAAUUCUGCCUGCACACGUAGAGAAUGUUCGGACUAGGGGACUAGCGACGUGUAGUUAUCACACGAAGGGCAUCUCCAGUAGCUUAGCUAUUGGCUGUGAGAUUUGCAUAGCAGUUGUUGAUACUCGAUUUUCUGAACAGCUUUGCUUUCGGCAAAACUAUAGUCUGAUAAGUCAUCUGAUAGGAUUUGCUACGGAAGUAAGAGCACGGUAGGAAGUAAGAACUACUCGCUCGUCAGCCUCUUUGAUGCUUCUGUGGAAGUGCGUGCUGGUUGAGGGAGCGGCCUAUUAUUAAUAAACAAUGUUCAAAAUAGUGCUUCUGUGGAAGAGAAAAAAGUUACUAGUUUUGCGAUUCUACAAAAAUUAACUACUAUUUUGAAUUUUACAGAUUCGGACUGUAUUUUCAACAAACUGAACAAAUACCUUUAUCCCUUUCCCUCUCUUCUUUUUUUUUUCUUCAUUCUUUUUUUUUUUUCUCUCCUACCCUCAUCGUCUCCUCCACCGUCUCAGCGGCUCUCGGUGACGGUAGCGAGGACGGCGCCACCUCUCCUCCUCCUCCAUCUCUCCUCGCCGGCGCCGGUAGCCCUCGGUGACCGUAAUGAGGGCGGCCCGCCUCCUUUUCCUCCGCCUCCGCCUUUGCCGGCGCCGGAGAAGGAGAAGAACUUGGAGCGGAUUUGGGUAAGGACAGAGUGGAUAGAAGAACUCGAAGCGGAUCUGGAUGAGGACGGAGCAGACGAAGGCAAUGAGGUCGUUGCCGAGUAAGUGCUCACCGCCGGUGAGAGUGAGGAAAAAAGACGUGCCUAUUUCCAAUGAGCAAACAAAGAUGCAGAUGGUAGAAAAAAAUAAAAAGUAAAAAAAUAAGGCAAAGGGCUUGGUGGUUGGUACCCGAAGUUCCAAGUUCGAAUCCUAGUUUAUUCACAUUUCCAGCUAAGUUUAUUUUUAAAUGAAAUAAACGAAUCGGACAGCGUUCUACCUAUCUCUAAAAAAAAAAAUAAAAAACAAAAAAUAAAAAAAAUUUCUCAUUGAGAAAUCAUUAUAUAUUGUUGUUGUAAUUGAAAAAUCUAAUAAUUAGAGAGAAAGGAAAAAUAUGAAAAUUGCACCGUUAAAAUAAAAUUACACUAUUUUAUAAAGAAAUACAAUUUAAUAUGAACAUUUCACUCUGUGAGAUAAAAUUAGACUAUUUGAAAUAAAAGUUACACUCCUUCGACAAAAAUUAUAAUGUUUCAGAGAAAAUUGCAUCCUCGUUCGCUUCUUGAAGAUGAGCACGUUUUUUUUCCUCACCCUCAAGGUUGGUGAGGACCUCCCCGGCAACGAUCUCAUUGCCUUCAUCUGCUCUGCCCUCACUGGGCCUGCUCCGAAUUCUUCUUCUCCUUCUCCGACGUCGGCGAAUGUGGAGGUGGCGCCACCCUCGUUACCGUCGCUGAGGGCUGCAGAGGUGGUGGACGAGACCAUGAGGGCUGAGAAAAAAAAAAAAAAAAAAAAAAAAAAAGGGAAAAAAAAAUAGAGAAGGAAUUAGAGGAUUGUUAUCAGUUUGGUUAAAAAUCCGACACCGGAUCUGUUAAAUCUAAACUAGUGGUUCACAUAUGUGCAAAAUCGCAAGGACUAAUGGAUUUUUUAUAUGCACAUUGGCCAGUUAUUUUAUGUUAAUAUCAUAAAAAAAUAACUAUUUGUUAGUAGAUAUCAGUAUUUUAAAUAUAUAUACUUAUAUAUAAUAUAUAUAUAUAUUAUAUACUAUACAUAUAUAUAUAUAUAUAUAUAUAGUCCAGCUACUACACUGAUAAGAGUACGAUCACCUUCGUAUUCAAAAGUUGUUUUCGAUGAUAGAGCUUCCGAAUCGACGAUUCAUGCCGCGUUAACUAUUAUCGAGAGCAUUUAAAAUUUUUAGAAAUUAAAUUUUAUAAUUUUUAGACAUCAUUUACCUUACGAUCAAAAGGUCUCAAAACUGACAAUUUUAACGGUCGGUACGGAAUACUUGCUAGUUUAACAGUGUAAAAGAAUCGGAAUCGGUUAAACUUCUAUCUAGGUAAAGAUUAAUAACUUCGAUUUUAAAUUGAACGAUUCAAUCAUCCAUUUUGAAGACGUUGUUCGAUUUUGACCGUUCAUUUUAUAUCCGCUUGAUGAACUUUAUUUUGAUUUCGAAAAUUUACAAAAUGUAUUUUUUAGAAGUUUCAAAUACUUUUAGAUCAUAUUUAACAGAGUAGAUUAUUGAUUUGGAAGCUUUAUUAUCGAAAACACCUUAUGAGUACGAAGAGCUCUAUACUCGUAACUAAAAAUGAUGAAAUGAUUAUUCCAGGGAUAGGUAUAAAUUGAGGUAUAAGUGGGGAUUAGAUCAAUUUUGCGUUUGGAUGAAAAUUAGGUUAUUCCUAGGAAUAAAAAAAAUAGCGUUUGGUUAGGUAAGAUGGAAUAAGAAAGAUAGUAGAUUUUUAUAAAUACAAAAUAAUGAUAUUACCAUCUUAUUAUAUUUGAAUUUGAAUUUUUAAAUUUUUAAAUUUAAAAUUUUAACUUUGAAAUUUUAAAAUUUAAAAUUAAAAUUAAAAUUUUAAAAUCUCAAAUUUUAAAUUCAAAAUUUUAAAAUAAGAAUAGGGGUGGAAACAAUUNAUAAAAUUUAUUAUAAUAUUUAAAUAUAAAUAAUAUUUAUUAAUAUAGUACAAUUAAUAAUUUUAUAAUAAAAAUAAUGUAUUAUAAUACAUAACAUAUUAUAUUUAUAUAAUUUAGUUUAAUUCAAUUUAUAAUUUUAAUUAAGUUUGAAAUUAAGCAUUGGAAUAGCGCUAUUCCACCAAAAUGGUGAAAUAGCAAAUCCCUUGCUAUUCCAGGAUAAUCGGGAAUAGUAAGGUUUGACCGGAAUAUUUUAUCCCGGUAAUAAAUCUUCCCGUUUGGCAGAAUAGCGGGGAUAACGAAAGUUAUCCCCGCUUAUCCCCUGAACCAAACAGCGUUUAUAUAUACAAUACCCAUAUAAUAAAACUGUUGGUUAGUAAGCAUUUCUAUUAUUGCAAUAACUAGUGCUGGGCCAGAGGCCUCUUUGGAUACAUUCAUCUUGAGCAAGGGACUCAGAACAUCCGAAAGAAUCGGAGUUCGCGUCACAUUCAAGUGACUCAAAGCAUACAGUGCAACCUUCAGUCAGCUAUGUAGUAUUAAGGUCCCUUCAAAUACUAUGGCAGAAACUUAGUGUAACCCUCGAGGUUUCGGAAGAAAUUAUCGAACUUUAGCCAAAUUGACUAAAAUGUAAUAACUGAAGUUUUUGGAUAAAUAAAAUUAAACCCUUGGUUGACGAUGUUUUUGUGUGUAAUUUAAUUACUAAAGCACUCGUCAAAUUUCAGGAGAAAAUGAGCUAAAAUGGAGAAGUUACGCGACCCGAACCGAUGACUUAAGUGAAAAGUAACUCCAGUUUUCCGGAUGAACCAAUGAUUAGAGAAGGGUUCUAGUGCACAUCGAACUCCGAAUAUAGGACUUCAAUAGCUCGUUUCGAAUGGCUCGACNGUUACUAUUCACUUUAAGUGAAACUUGGAAAUCGCGUAGAAUUUCCGUUUUAACUCGAUUUCGCCCGAAACUUGACGAGUGCUUUUGUAAUUAAAUUACACACAAAAACAUCGUCAACAGAGAGUUUAGCUACACUGCAAAAAUCUCAGUCCUUACAAUUAUGCAUUAUAAAAAUUUUUCAUUUAUAGAUAGACUCUUUCACUUCACCUCUUCCAUUACUCAUAUAAUUUAUAAUUUAUUAAAUUUUAAUAAAUUUAAUUGAACAACUUAAAUUUGAAUUCACAAUAAAUAUUAUUGAAUAACUACUAUAAAUAGUGAUGCGAAGGUUAUUUUGGUAAUUAUACAUAUACCGACAAAAAAAGGGUGAGAUGAAACCAACAAACAUAUUUGCUUAUAAUAAUAAGAAUAGAUAGAUUAUUGAACAUCACCCUAAUAAGCCGUGGUGGUUGAUGAUGGAGGGAGGUGGCAGCUCUCUUCCUCCGUCAGGGCCUCCUCACGCGAGAAAUUUUAACUCAUCAACAAUUUUCUUCUUGUAUUUUCAGAAAUUUAAAGUAAACUUAGAUGUACUUAUAUUACUAUGUAAUUUAGAAUUUUUUAUUGUGCCGCUCCAAGGAAUCAUAUAUAGGAAUGUAAAAAUGCAAAGUUUGUAGUUUUAACUUCACCUAAGCAUUUUGAACGGAUAAUUUUAGAUCCAAUAAGUUUUUAGUGCUGACCGGCUGAGUCGCUAGUUUGCUAACGGAAAGUGAUGUCUUGUGGCCAGGGUAUUGGAUCCGAUGAGGACAUUAAGAUCAAAAUGGAGAAAGUUUGUGAUCCUAUCGAGGAAAUUUGAACUCGCGAAGACGUCCGGGUUUAAAUGAGAAAACUCUAAAUCUCACAUCCGAUGAGAAAAAGCUCUAGUUCAAAUAACUUGAAAAUUUUGAGCUAGAAAUUUAAGUCCAACAAAUUAUUAGUGAUAGUAGACCAAAUCAUUACAUUUAUAUUUGCUACACUAUAUUCUUUUUUCAAAGAUGCCACUAAAUUAUUAUUUUCUCAUUAAUCUCUACGUUGCAUCAACAAACCUACCUUUUCAGAAAAAGCUAGCAACUUGAUUAAUAGGCACAAAUUGAAAAUAGCAGAAAGUAUAUAUUUGGCCCAUUUUAACUUAAAAUGCCUGCAACAUUUUUCUCAUCUUAUGUUUGCCGAAAAUUGUGGUAAGGCUUACAGUUUGAUAGGUGUCACUAAAAAAGGGUGUCACUAAAAAAAAAAGAUAAAGAGAAUCAAGGGAGUUCCUCGUAUAGCUCAGAAGAGUGACAAGUGCUUACGGCUUUUGCUCUAACCAAGAAACAUUCAAAGAAUAUUUUUGAUAUCAAGUCAAACGAGCUUCUGAAAACUAAACAGAAAAUAUCUAAUUUAAAGUUUCUGCUCUUUAGCUCCAGAAAAGAAGCAUCUCUAGGAAUCUACGAACAAGAACUUAACUGAUUGAAGUGCUCCGCUCAACUAGAAGAUAUUUUAACAACUUCCUGAACUUCAUCCUUCACUCACAAAAUAAAAUUUGACUGAUACCAUCAAUAUAAUGCAUUCAUUUACUUACAAAUAAUGCGUAUUACCAUCCAUAGCAUAUUAGAUUACAUCAAAGCUUACAUUAGUUAACUCCAAAUGAUAAUUAUCUUCUACUCUCAAUCCAAUCCACACGUAUAAUUCUUAUUAACAAGAUAGGAGGAGAAGAUGAAGAUUUAUUUCCCUUACACGCCGUGUCCUUUGCUCGAACCAAGCAGAUGGUAAGUCCUGCUAGGGAUAACAUGAAGAACACCCGGUUGCUCUGCGUUAUAACCAACAAAAUAAAUGCUGUCAAACUUGUGAUUGAAGAAGGGUCAAAAACAACAUAGCCUGUUUACUGAAGAUGGGUCAAAAACAACAUAGCCUGUUUAUUGAUUCCCAAACCCUCCCCCCCUACAGCAAAAAAAUGGUAUGCAAGUUCAACAGAAUCUGAUAGCGAAAUAUGGCAUGAUAUAGUUCUCAAACAGAGGUGACUUAGGUUAACCGAGCUUGCUGCAACACACAAUAAAGCUACUUAUUGCUCAAGUCAAUCUCAAGUGAGCUUCAGACUCGCAUACAGACACACGUAAUUCAGAUUACCAGCAACAUGAACAAACCAAGAGCAAGAUAUUGACCAACUGCCGAGAUCAUUUGCAUCCGGAAAUGAUCGGAAAAGCAAGCACAUCAAAAUUAAGAAGGAUAAUCAUGGAAAAUGAUUUCACAUCUUAAGAGUAUUGGCCUUUUCAUUUGAAAAAUACCAUAAUAAUCAGACGGAAUCAUGUACAACUUGCCAGAUCAGGUCAAUUCCACAAAAGAGAGAUGAGGAUUGCAAAGAACGGGUCAAGAUUGCAUUAGAUUUCGGAGUCUGAUUUUGACCGUAUUAAAGCAAAACAAAAGCAGGGAAAUAUGCUCGACAAAUAAUGCAGAUUCCAAUUUCUUUUUAUGAUAAAAAAAAUCACUGCUUGUCUAAACAAAGGCAUGAAAAGGAUGUUCAUUAUGGAUGCAAAAAAAAAAAUAAAAAAAAUAAAAAAAAUAAAAAUAAUAAAAAAUAAAAUAAAACAACCAAGAAAAAGUGAUUUUCAAGAAACUGUAACAAGCUAAUCAUAAGCAGGAUGCUAAGUUUCAUUAGAUAACCCACAGAAAAUAGUGAGCACUAAGCAAUCAAAUUCAACAUCAAAUAGAUGCAACUUAAACAACAUGGGAACAAUCCACUUGAACAAAUAGUUAAUAAAAUUUAGGAAAAACUUCAUAUGCCCCCCUGUGGUUUGCUUCUUUUUUAGUUUCGCACUCUAUAGUUUUAACUGUAUCACUUUAAGUAUUAUGUGGUUUCUAUUUUUGUUCUUCCGUUACAUCCUAUGUUAACUUUUCCAUUCAAACAAUCACGUGCGUUUUUUCGCCAUUCGGAACUCCCCAAGAAUGAUCAAAAUUAAGCCCUAAAGGGUCUCAUGCCUUUUCAUUGACCUUUGUAGGGCCAUAUCCGACGCAACGGAGAAGUUAAUGGAGGGUGUAACAGAAAACGAAGAUAAAAACCACAUGGUACUUAAUUGACAUAGUUAAAACUAUAGGGUACUAAAGUGAAAAUAAAAGGGUGUAAAUCAAGAGGUAUCUAAAGUUUUCCCUAGAAUUUAUCACAAAAAAUUCAUUAAUAAGCACAAAUGAGAAGAAAGGUUGCUGAAUAAUCCUUAAUUAAAUCAUUGUUUCAGUAAAAUAGUACUAACAAACAUUGAGGAUAUUGGAUGGAAAAAUAAAUACAGGCAUGUUGUUGCAAAGAUUAGACAAGCUUGGAAACAAAUCCACUUGAGUGAAAAAUUCAGGGAUGAAAUUGUGAACCAUCAAAUGUUCAGGGACUACAAGGAAAAUCUUAACCCUAUAAACAGCAAAUGCUUCAUAACAGCACAAUUAAUCAACAGAAUAAUCCAAUCCAGGGGUGAAAUUCAAUUUAACCUCGACCUCAAUCUAAACAGAAAACAAUUAAUUGCGGAAUAACCAUUCCUAAAUGAUGAGUAAGGUAUUAGACACCUAUAUUCCCCUUAAUAAUUAAGCCUACAAAAACAGGUAGGUCCAAUUGCUCGAUCACCAUAUGUAAACAACACGAUGAAUCAAUCCAAGUAAAACUGAAAUUACAAGCAAUUCAAUUCAUUGAUGAGGGUCGACAUGCGGAAGGAGAACUCACUUUUCAAUUCUUCAACCUGCUUUGGAGUGAGCCUCGCUGCAAACCCGCUAGCUGAAAGCGUGUAGUGGUAGAUCAUGGCGUCCUUUGCUGCCUCCUUACUGGAAAAUGUCCCACAAAAUCAUUCACAGAUUCAAAAUUUUGAGGGGGGGAAAGAAAUUAUAAAACUGGGAACUCGUAAAUAGAUUUCACAAGAAAAUAAGACGAACACACAAUCGGUAUCCCGAUUAGGAGACAAAACCAAAAUGGAAUAUUAUUACAGCCUCCUUUGUCAACCUCCGUCCUACGAUAUCCUUGAAAAAAAAUUUCGCAAGUACGACCAAAUCGAGGUAAAAACGCGCGUUUUUUCUCGAUUACGGGGAAACUGAAUCAUAAAUUAAAGGAAACGGAAACAGAAGCGUAAAUGAUAUACCACCGCUUCCUUCGCAGCCGCCUUACUGACGAAUCACCAAAUAAAUUCGCCUCCCCCCCCGCCCACCCCUCCCCCGCAAAAAAAAANAAAAAAAAAAAACAACCAAAUCAUGGAAUGAAAAAGAGAAAGGGAAAAAAAAAAAGGGAGUAUCACGACCUCCUUCGUCGUAAUAAGAAUCGCAUCUUUAUCUCGAUCAAAGGGGGGAAAACCGUCAAAUCGUUCAUAGGAGCGGAAAAUGGGGAAUGAAAUUAAUGGAAAAAAAAAAAAACAGAACAGAAGGUGAGGGGAUGGAUCUCGAACCUUCCGAGGACGGAGGCGAGGGUGCUGAUGUGGAAGUCCUCAGGGUCGGCGUCGCCGUCGGGGCGGGCGACGUAGACGAUCUGUGGGGUGGCCGCCUCGGGAUCCGCGGGCUCCGCGGCCGUCGCCGCCAUUGUUGAGGUCGAGAAGGAGAAAAGGGAGAGGAGGAGGAGGAGGAGGAGGAGGGAGACGAGGAGGAGGGGAAUGGAGGGGUAUUUGCUCAUCAUGGCUUCGGAGGGGACGAGGAAGAGGACGGGGAAGGAACAUUUGUUCGUCCAAAACGACGCUAUUUAUAUGGCGUUACUUGCACCCCCCGUGUCCGACCAGCGCUGGCAACCUACAAUCUCUCACCCCGAUUUGCUAAUUUUGAUUCCAUUCCAAAAUUAAUUCGAUUUGACAACAAACAAAAUAACAAAUAUCCUUUGAAAUUUAGCUUUUCACAGAGAGAUACCAGAACUUUCAAUUACGAUCAUUACAUAUCUUAAAUUUUAGCCUCUCCUUAAUUAAAGUUUUUACUAUAUAAUGAUUUGAUCGUUUGAAUUGCAUACAAUUUUAUAAAGCUUUAGAACACGAGCUUUUUUUUUAUUCCAAGAUGUAAAUAAAGUGAUAAAAAUAAAAGUUUCCCCCAUUCUAUUCUUCAAUCGUUGUGCUUAAUUAUCAAAAUUGAGAGAAAAAAAUGUUUUUUUUUAAUUUUUUGAAGUCUUACAGAAUUAUAUACACGGUAUCUAGCCAAAACAGCUGUGUAAUUAGUUAGUUCACUCAAGCGGAGAGACCUAUUGAAUUAUGUGUUAAAGUUUGGAAAAUGUAUUUGCCAAAAUUUAAAGGUUAGGCAUUCACUUGUAAAGAGCUAAAGUUCGGGAGUCUUUAUACAAUUUACGUAAAAAGAAAGAAAAAUGCUUCUUAUGCACCCAAAAAGAAAGGUGGAGAUCUUACACCCUCUAUGCUAUUAUUGAUAAAAAUUCAAAUAAUUAUUAGUAAAAAUAAAAAAAUGUGAUAAUUAAUUAACGGUCUUGUAAUGGAGUUGGUGUAAGAUAUACACCCCACUUUGAGGUGUACCGAUAAUAUGGCCCUUUGAUUUAAGUUUCUAACAUUUCAAUGUAUUUGUUUUUAUCAUUAAUAGCUCUUCUAAUAUAAUUUUAAAUUAAUUGCUUAUUUUAAUAAAUUUUUUUACAUUAAAAGAGAGUUGGGAGACCUAGAAUGACACGUGUUCCCCAACUCUCCACUUCGGCUCCCCUAUCCUCAUAUUCUCCUUCAUUACAACAAUAUUACAUACAUCCUAUCUAGUAAAAUAUUAUAUAUAUAUCAAUAGACAACAACUCAUUAAUGCCACUGAAUACCACUUUUCUUCGAUAGCAGAACUACCCUUCAUCCUCGUGGUGUGGAUUGGAUAAGAAUGAACCAACUAGUCGAAUGGUCGACCACCACUACGUAUUAUAUAUCGAUCGACCUCCUCGACUAACACAAGAGUCUACAAGAUGGCACUCUACCAUCCUAACCAUUCAAGAGUCUACAUCACCGUGUACGACUCUGUCCAUGGUGGAACUUACCUUGGUCCAAUUACCGGCAUUGCAUAAAAGCAAUAUCACAUGUGCAUUACUCAAUCAUGAGUGCCCCAAUCACACAUAGACUUUUAGCUCUAUAGCGAGAUGGCACCCUUCGGUACAUCUUCAAUUCUAAUUCACCUGAGAGCAUACUCCCCAAACCUCACAUGGCUUUCCACUAGCUCGUUGGUUGUCUUAUAAAGAGUACUUGACUCUACUUUCAUCUGCCACGGGUCACCAUCAUGUUGUUCUCCCGACGAGUUCACACGAACACUCUGUUCGUGAAUCCAAUUAGGCGAGCGGUAUGACCGAGCCUACGCUCCUAAGGUCACUACCCUCAGUCCUCCUACACGCUAUUAACGCUCUCCUAUUUCUAGAGCUAUCGGCUAAAUUGUUUAUCCCAAUUACCAUGGGUGGUCCACAGACCGCCAAUCCUACAUAGGCCUACUUGCCUUGACAACACGCAACGUCUCUUGCACACAAGUGCAGACCUAAUCAUCACUGGGUGGAGUCCUCACCUGAGAUCUGGCACACAGGCUCCCACUGGGAGCAACCGAGACCCUAAACCACUACAAGUCUUCGGGUUGGGUCAUCACUACACCCUCAAUACUAUCGAUAAAACGAUCUUAUACGUGGCAUUCCGCAUUCCCGGGUCCUAGCUCGGACUACCAACCCGACCAUAAAUCUCUGCACUACCCGUAGGUCUUGGGCCGCUGUCUCACACAGCUGACUGCACCUGUCCAUAUGGCCCCAGGCUUCACAGUUCACACAUGGUCCAGAUACGGAUCGCCCCCAAGUAACAUCCGCCACCGUCAUCACACACGACACGCUCUACCGAGCAACACAUACCUCUACCGGCUCCUACACACCUAGUGCGAGCCACCAGCCCUACGAGUGGUCCAUGGCUCGCUUCACACCUAGCAAUGCUGAAGUGCUACUGCCAACAAACCCUCUCGGCUGAGCCAUAAUUCGCACCCUACGGAUACCUAUACUCGAGCGUCUUACGGUACUAUGCCUUUCGCGAUAAACCAAGCACUACGCAAUCUCGCCCGUACUCACGAGUACACGAAUACGAAUUCCCCCACCUUGGUUGAGGUACUAUUCGACCGACUCGUCGGAACUUGGCGACCGUCCAACCAUUACGGAAUAGUGAUUCUACCAUCACUGUUCUGUCCCUCGGAUCGACAUCCGAAACUCUUGGACUACUAGGACAUCCCCGAAUAUCAUAACCCAACUCUCGCAACCAAUUAGAGAGUUGGUUCACCAUCUCCAUCUCGACCACGAGCUCUAUACUCGUUUCGCCACCAACAACUCGCCGGUAUCGUCUAAUCACCCAUCCCUUUUAGUAGGCUAUGCACUUUCAUGACGCAAGCAUGCCAGGGUCACUACACUUACCCACAUCUUAGUCCCUACUAUGUUUAUGCAUAAAUAGUAGUGAAUGACCGCAUGAUAAUUGCAUGCAAUGCUCCAAGAUUACAUCAUGCAAAAGCACACGACUUCUUCAACCAAAUCAUACUUACCAGGACGUCGUCAGUAGCAGUAGACUCCUCAAUUUGGGUCAUGUAGCGAGAACCACCACAAAUAACACACCCCGAAGAAGAUUAGGUAGAAGACACUUUUGGGGUUUGGGGUUGCGAUUGUAUAUGUCUCGGGGAUUGCCUAGAGCUCGAUUGACCACCUGAAUUACUCAUCAGUCGCAUCAUCCCCCUCUCUCUAACAAGAGGUUCGCGCUCCUCCCGCGUGAAAGCAUCACCUUGCUCCAAGACUCCAGCGAAAGUUUGUAAUUCAUAAGGAUGCACAACUUUGAAAAUUUUCAAUCAAAAUCCCUGCACAAAACAAUCAGCCUUAUCCCUCUCAUCUCGCAUCGCGUACAGGACACAGUUUCAAAUACAGGAGAAUUCCGCCUCAUACUCUCUCACCGAGCGGUCUCCUUACAGUGCGGCAUCGUGAGCCUAUCCUGAAGCUUUCUCUUCUCACUGUCGGGAAAGUAAGCAAAGAAUAUCAAUCCUCAAAACUCUUCCGAAGUUAAAGAAGGAAGACUGGGCGAUCGGUUUCAUUUGUCGCUUUUCCACCACACCAUUGCCAACUGUUCCAAACAAUAUGCGGCUAGGUGCACCUCGUUCCACUCCAAGGUGUACAGAUCCUCAAAGAGAAUUUUCAUGGAGUCAAUCCAUAUUUUCACGAUCCACGGAUCCACCGCCUCUCCAUCGAAGGUAGGCGGAUUGCAUUUCUUGAAGGUCAUAGAGCCGCCAAAGCUUAUUCCCGCUCCACCUCAAACGCCGCAUAGCCAAGAGCCGGAUUUGUUAGUUAUAUGCCCAAAAGCCAAUCCGCUGACACUAGCUUAAGGGUAUUUAAGUAUUAAUCAUUUAUAAUUCAUAAUAUAAGGGCAGAUAAUCUAUUCAUAUCUAUUGUAUAGCAGUACAAUAUUGACAUGAAUCGUCCAUAGAGUCUUUGUUUGAAAAGUCUUAAGAGUUAGGAAUUUGAGAUAUGUACUUUUCUGUACCGGACUCUUUAAAUGCUCCUAGCCAGAGGAAUAUUACAGGGAUGGUGAUAUUCCGGAUAGGCUGGUGUAUGCUAUGUUUCUAAUUGAGGUGACGAAUCUCAAGUCACUAGUGUAGGGACACUAGAACAAGCUUAGAGGUGCUUGUUAGAGAACAAGUAUACUGAGCGUGACUAUUUAGUUGAACAGUCAUAUGGUUCUAUGCUCGCCAGUGAUAAGUUCAUUGCUACAGUUGUGUGAAGUACUCCUCGGACCUGAGGCAUCAUAGUUGCUUCACGUAUAGAUUGCUACCAUUUGACAGUACUAAUAAUUAGACUCUAGACAUGGGUCUAUAUUCAGUACUGAUUGGCUGUGGUGAUUUAUGUGAGGAGGCAUGGGAAUGCGCAAUAAGGAAUCCAACACUCUCAAUGACAAGGGAGAAUGUCCUAUGCAGUCUAUCGGACUGACUCGGAAAACCCCUGGCCAGGGUACAUGGUAUGUGGAAAGAGUUUCCAACUAUGUUGUCAUAUUGAGUUGAUUUCAGAUAGUUUAGUCAUAUAGUCGAAUGAUAAGGUUUGGCGAGUAACCAUGGCCUUAGUUCGAUUGGGACGUUGUAUGUUGAAAGGAAUUAAUCACAUGGUAGCUGAAAGCGGAAAGGUUCAUUCUUCAUUACCAUUCUGGAUUGCCGUGAUAUACUGCUAGGUGUCACUCACGGACAGUGAGAGAAUAUGAAUGAUUCGAAUUGAAUUGUUCUUAUUUAUCGAUUAGAAGAGUUCUAUUUAAAUAUCAAAGAGUUUGAUGUUGAGCUCCACUGCCGAAUGGUAAUGAACCUAUGCGGUCACACACAUUAGGAAUUGUGUGCGCCUGAAUCGUUUGGAUGAGAGUCAUUCACUAAAGAGUUUAGUGUAAGCGAUGAAAAUAAAAAGAAGCUGUUUAAUUAAAUUAGAUUUAAUUAUUCAAUUCGGUUAUAACUGAUAGUCCUACUUAGAUUAGGAUCUCAGAAUCAGUUAGAGAAUUAUGCGCAAGAUUUAAAUUUAUCUCUAAUUAGAUUAGUAGAUAAUAUUUAAUCAUAAAAGAUAUUUAAAUGAGAUUUAAAUAUUAGUGACUAAUCUUAUUGGAUAAGAUNUUUAAAUAUUAGUGAGUAAUCUUAUUGGAUAAGAUCAAAAUUAGAUAAGAUCUAAUUAAAUAUUGGAGAGAUUAAUAUUUAUCUCUAAUUGGAUUAGAGAAUAAUUAAAUAUUCAUAAUAUCUUAUAAGAUAAGAUUUUUACUAGAUUUGAUUUAGUUGGAUAAGCAUGAAUAUUUAAUUGUUAAAUUUUAUUAGAGAGAGAGAAAAAUCUUAUUAGAUAAGAUUUUAUGAAAUAAGAUUCUAUAUAUACAUAUAUAGAUUUAUAUGUAUGUAUGAAUAUACAAUGAAUUAAAAAAAAAAGAAAAAAGAAAAAAAAGGUGAAACCGUACGGCACAUAGUGCCAUAUGGAUUGAAUGCAUGGUAAUUAAGAUGCCAUGCAUCUUAAUUAAUUUGAUGCAUGUUAGCCUUUUGAUCUAUAUACAUAUAGAGAUCAAUCUCUCCGAUUUCUCUCCCGCGCGCGUGUUUCUCUCCGGUCAACUUCUCUACUCUUCAUCGACCGGUGGAUCAUGAAAGGAUUGCUAGGACCGUCCAGACGGUCCGUGACUCAUCCUAUUCGUGAGACGAAGAUCGAUCGGGUCGUCGAUUCCGUGUGGAUACGCGUAGAGGCCGGGCAUGUGCGCGGCUCAUCGAAAUCUCUGUUCGUCAUAUUCAGUUUCAACCGUACAGUAGAUCAAGAGACCUUAACUGGUCCACGGUAAGAUCUCUAAACAUAAAGAGUUUUGUUUAGAUUAAAUUUUUACACAGUAACAUGAGAGUGAUCCGCCGGCAACGGUUUGAUUUAUUGGUUUUCGGUUUUCAUAUGUGAUAUGUAUUUGGCUUCCGAAAAAUUUUUAAAAGUGCAAAAACUAUUUUCCGCUGCAUUUUUCUGAUGUGCCGGUUAAUUUCUAACAGUGGUAUCAGAGCCAAUUCUCAUGUUCUAUGUAAAAAUAUUAAAAAUCAGUACGGUUCGAUCAAAUUUUUCGGAUUCUUUCUAUGAUUAGAUCGUUCUCAUUUUGUCAUUUUGCAUGUGCUACGAUUUGUUGUUUUAUUACAACAAUAUUGCCAAGCAAAAAUGCGAGAUAACGUAUUUUAUAGUUCCGAAAAAUUUAAUCGAGAUCUGAGACGGAUCGGUUGCAUUUUUGUAUAAUUAAUUAUAUAGGAGAUGAUCAUGAACUUGACUAGAUCUUUGUGAUGUGAUUAUGGAUGUAUCUCGAUGUUUUUGAGAUCAUGUGAUGUAUUUUUAUGGGUGUAAUUUACACAAUUAUUUAUUAUUUAGUUUCCGGUAUUUGUGAAUAGGGCCUGCGUGCCUUUGUUCUUCUCUUUAAAUUAAUUUGUAAUUUAUUGGGAUCUGCGUAUCCCUACUAGUCUAAUUUGUAAUAAUUAGAUCAGGCAAAAUUAUAGUUCUAUAGGAGAGUGUGCUCCGCAAGAGUUGACGGACUGAGGUCGUAAUUUUUUACGGCAUCGUGGCAUACAUAGGACUCAGGAGAAGAAGAUGAUUAAACGGUCGCAGACGGCCGAGAUCUAUCUGACCACAUAAGAUGUUGGUAAAUCUGGAAGUUGAAGAAUAGUUUUUCUCAAAAUUUGAGAAUGUGUAUGUGAAUGUAACAAUUACCCCAUAGACCGAUUUGUCUCAUCCGCUCGAGUCAAAUCAUAAAAGUUCAUGAUCAUCCUUUUUAGCAUACAGUUAUUUAUUUAUUUUGUGUGUAUGUGAUACAUGUCAUUUUAUAUCAUGAGAUGUGAUAUAUGAAUAUUUCUAUGAUGAUGAGACCAAAUUAAUAAAGUUUUAAUCUCCCUAUAAUAUAUUAAGUAGGAACGAAGGGGUAUAUGAUACUCUAUCAUGGCCUUCCGCCAAUCACAGGGUGAGAAUAAAGUUCCGACAUUGAGCAGUCACGCAUGGUCCCAUGGGGCUACUUGUGUUUGGGCAAUGUGAACAUCUUGUCAUAUGAUGCUACAAGAUAGGAUUACCAACGGAUCCACGAAACUGUCCGGUGAGGGGCUUUUGGUAGUUCCAUACUUGUAGGAAAGGUGGGUUUGACUUAACUAGGGCGUUUGCACCAAGAAACUGUCCGGUGAAGUGUAAAACCCUAGAGGCCGAAGGAUGAUCGGAUCAUACAUGAGAUGUGCCGAGGUAAGGUGUUACCCGCUUACUAAAUUACGGCUUUCCAAGAAACCGUCCGGUGAGGUAAGUCAUAAUUAUAAGACCCUGAUCCCCGCUAGAAAUAUCAAGGGUUGAUGAUUUCCGUCUUUCCAUCUAGGGAGUGUGGAAAUUCGAUAAAUUUAGUG